GUACUUGCUUUGGCAGCACAUAUACUAAUAUCAGAAUGAUAGAAGAUUAGUAUGAACCCUGCACAAAGAUGACAUGCAAAUUCAUGAAAUGUUCCAUAUUUUU
ensembl:snRNA U6 U6 spliceosomal RNA